GGAGCGGUAGUUCAGUUGGUUAGAAUACCUGCCUGUCACGCGGGGGGUCGCGGGUUCGAGUCCCGUCCGUUCCGCCA
rnacentral:tRNA from 1 species